CAAACUCUCACAGAGGUCAAGAGAUGCA
rnacentral:piRNA from 1 species